GACGAACGCUGGCGGCGUGCUUAACACAUGCAAGUCGAACGGAAUGGCCCUGCUUUUGUGGGGUGCUCGAGUGCCGAACGGGUGAGUAACACGUGAGUAACCUGCCCUUGACUUUGGGAUAACUUCAGGAAACUGGGGCUAAUACCGGAUAGGAGCUCCUGCUGCAUGGUGGGGGUUGGAAAGUUUCGGCGGUUGGGGAUGGACUCGCGGCUUAUCAGCUUGUUGGUGGGGUAGUGGCUUACCAAGGCUUUGACGGGUAGCCGGCCUGAGAGGGUGACCGGCCACAUUGGGACUGAGAUACGGCCCAGACUCGUACGGGAGGCAGCAGGGGGGAAUAUUGCACAAUGGGCGGAAGCCUGAUGCAGCAACGCCGCGUGCGGGAUGACGGCCUUCGGGUUGUAAACCGCUUUCGCCUGUGACGAAGCGGGAGUGACGGUAAUGGGUAAAGAAGCACCGGCUAACUACGUG
rnacentral:rRNA from 1 species